rnacentral:rRNA from 1 species
UACGGAGGGUGCAAACGUUGCUCGGAAUCAUUGGGCGUAAAGCGCACGUAGGCGGCUCGUUAAGUCGGAUGUGAAAGCCCCGGGCUCAACCCGGGAAGUGCAUUCGAAACUGGCGAGCUUGAAUAUGGAAGAGGGUCGCGGAAUUCCCGGUGUAGAGGUGAAAUUCGUAGAUAUCGGGAGGAACACCAGUGGCGAAGGCGGCGACCUGGGCCAAUAUUGACGCUCAGGCACGAAAGCGUGGGGAGCAAACAGG